GUUUGAGUAUCAAAGCGUCUACCUACACAAAUCUAGAUGGUACAGCCUACUACACACCUAGUCUAUAUGGUAUGGCCUAUUGUGCCUAGGUUACAAAUCUUUAGGACAUGUUACAGUACUAAAUACUGUAGGCAACUGCAACACAGUGCUGAGUAUUAGUGUAUUUAAACAUAAAUAGGCAUAGUAAAAUAUGGUAUUAUAAUCUUAUGAGCCUACUGUCAUAUAUGGGGUCCAUUGUUGGCCAAAACUGUGUGUAUAUGACUUUAUAUGUAUUUUAAUAUUUUCCAUUUCUUCUAUGAAAUCUAUUUUAUUCUUCUGCUAUGUUUACUCAAAACUAAAUUUAUUUUAAUAACUCCAUCAUUUUACAUUUCUUUCUAUAUGUAAAAAUGCUAUAUACUGUGAUUCACAAUGCAUAUUUCACAAGAGGCACGUCAACUCAAAAAAGCUUCUCAUUAAAACAUGCACAUAUAGUAUUACAAAAAGUAGUCUUAUAAGUCACAUAAAUAGCAACAUACAUUGAAAAAGUCAGAAAAAAAUGCAAAAAUAUUUU